GUCUACAGCCAUGCCACCCUGAACAAGCCCGAUGUCUGAUCUCGGAAGCUAAGCAGGGUCAGGCCUGGUUAGUACUUGGAUGGGAGACCACAUAGGAAGACCGGGUGCUGUAGGCA
rnacentral:rRNA from 1 species